rnacentral:lncRNA from 1 species
GGCCCCCCUGCCCCAACUAAUCAGCGUCCUUGCUGUUCCUGGCUCACUCUCACCUUGGGAUCUCUCUCUCCUGAGGAACCAGGACCCCAGCAGGAAAUGCAGCUGAGCACAAAGGGAUGGAACAAGCUCUGUCCACUGCUUUAUUAAGCCCCAGCAGAAAAUACACUGAAGCCAGGUUCUCAGUCACUUCAACGUUUCAUCUGGGCUUCAAACUCUGAGGAAGCGAGCCCCACGAAUCCCCUGUGGACAGGCAUGACAACGCUGGCAGGCGUGUGCCAGGCAGGGAGAGGAUAGGAUGGCUGGUGGACCCUCAGAAAGACCCGACCUGAGCUUUCCCUGUAGGGACUGAGCAGAGCGGAGAAUUGAGCCCCUAAAGUGAGCAGCACAGAGCCACGGGGGGCAGGGGCAUCCCUGGCUGCAUAGUGGGAAGGCAAUGGCCUGGCCGCCAGGGACAGGCACAGGGACGCCCAGCCAGGGCCCACUGUCUUCCCGUGUGAGGAGUGAGGCUCCAGUGCAAAGCUCUGCUGCGUGCAAACACAUCUUACCUUUUCCUUAGGUCUUCGGCACACUCCUCACAGGGGUAAAACUUAGAAAAUAAAUGUAUGAACUGGG